rnacentral:lncRNA from 12 species
GGCGUGUGUCCAGGCCAGGGCCCUGGGUGCACACAGUCCUUCCCUGGAGCCUGUGGACAGGGGUGUGUUGUGUCCCUGUGUGCACAUACCAUUGCCUGCAGGGAGUGGGGGCGUCGGCAGCACGAGCACUGCCCCUGCAGCUUCCUCCAGGAGUGGGUUAGGGAGCGGGUCCCAGGAAGUGAGGUCACUUCCGUGUCACAGAGCCUAACAGAACUUGGAACCCCCCCAACCAGGCACAUGCAUCCAGUGCAGCCCCAGCUCAGGCUCACUUGGCUGGAGACAUCUGCUACUGAAGGAUGUUCUCUUGCUGCCAGCCCACCUCUGGGGGCUCUGGUUCCCAGAAACCCCAGGGGUGCGGCUUGUUCCAAUGCUCUAGGCAUUGGCUCCAGCAUAGAUACCAAGGCGUCAGGGCGGUGAUCAGGAGGCGCCGUCAGGGUGCUGGGGCCUUGGCCGGGAAGGGGCAUCGGAUCGCCCUGAUGAAGUCCAGCCAGACGGAGCUGCUGGAGCACAAAGUCCGACAACUGCUGCUCGCCUUGUAG